GCCGAAACCUCUUCCCCCGUGCGUGCCAUUUCUCUUCUCCUCCGCCGAAUUCACCCGUGCCCUAACCUCCUAGCGCCGGCGGUUAUCUCUUCUCCUCCGAUUGAACGCCGGCCAAGCUUCUUCUUCCCCUCUCUUCCGAGCUGUGCCGCCCGAUUCUGUCUCUUCCGCCGCAGAUCUCUUCUCUUCUCCUUCUUUCUCCCUGAGCCCAGUACCGUUCCUCUCUUCCUCUCUUCUCCCGAGCGCCGAUAGUUGGCGAAUCACCUCUUCUCUGGCUUGGAUCGCGUCGCCCUCUCACCCCACGGAGCAACGCCGACGCGACUCACGGCUGAGCCCUAGCGCCGGUCGCGAUUCUUUUUGUUCUGUCACGCCUUCCCUCUACCCUAAUGCCGACCGCCCCUUGAUCAUCUUCCCGAGCCAAGCCCUAGAGUCAAGCUAAUUUCGUCGGAGGAAACCUCCGCAGCUUGAGGUGGGUUCUCUCAUCAAGGUAGGUUGAGGUAUGAAUCGAUUGGUGGCUCUAUCUCUAGUUCCAGCAGCAGCUCCAUUGAUCACACUUUUCCAGCGGUUAGGUCUUCGGCUGUGAGAUAACAGGGGAGCAGUAUAUGAAGGGUAUUGGAUUUGGAAAUCAACAACUCCAUCUUGUUCCGGCCGUGAUCUUCGGUAGCGAGCACUUCUCCUGUUGUGAAUUAACAGUGAGGUCUCCUAUUCGGGACUUGGAUUUGGGACAAGCGUCUCGACAUGGGAACACUGGACACAGUCUACGUAUGGAGGCGGGU